rnacentral:rRNA from 1 species
UCGUGGAUUGAUUUGUCUGGUUAAUUCCGAUAACGAACGAGACCUUUUCCUACUCGUUAGUUGCGCCUGGGAUUUUUUUCUCAGGUUUUUGCAACUUCUUAGCGGGACAGCUGGCGUUUAGCCAGAGGAAGUUCGAGGCAAUAACA